CUCCUACGGGAGGCAGCAGUAGGGAAUCUUCCACAAUGGACGAAAGUCUGAUGGAGCAACGCCGCGUGAGUGAUGAAGGGUUUCGGCUCGUAAAACUCUGUUGUUAAAGAAGAACAAGUGUUAGAGUAACUGUUAACACUUUGACGGUAUUUAACCAGAAGGCCACGGCUAACUUCGUGCCAGCAGCCGCGGUAAU
rnacentral:rRNA from 1 species